UACGGAGGGUGCAAGCGUUAUCCGGAAUCACUGGGUUUAAAGGGUGCGUAGGCGGUUUGGUUAGUCAGUUGUGAAAUUCCCCGGCUUAACCGGCGGAACUGCGAUUGAUACUGCCAAACUUGAAUCAGGUUGAGGUAGGCGGAAUGUGGCAUGUAGCGGUGAAAUGCUUAGAUAUGCCAUAGAACACCGAUUGCGAAGGCAGCUUGCUGGACCUGUAUUGACGCUGAGGCACGAAAGCGUGGGGAGCAAACAGG
rnacentral:rRNA from 1 species